rnacentral:rRNA from 1 species
AACGAACGCUGGCGGCAUGCCUAACACAUGCAAGUCGAACGAGACCUUCGGGUCUAGUGGCGCACGGGUGCGUAACGCGGGGGAACCUGCCCUUAGGUUCGGAAUAACUCCCCGAAGGGGGUGCUAAUACCGGAUAAUGUCUUCGGACCAAAGAUUUAUCGCCUUUGGAUGGGCCCGCGUUGGAUUAGCUAGUUGGUAGGGUAAAAGCCUACCAAGGCGACGAUCCAUAGCUGGUCUGAGAGGAUGAGCAGCCACACUGGGACUGAGACACGGCCCAGACUCCUACGGGAGGCAGCAGUGGGGAAUAUUGGACAAUGGGCGAAAGCCUGAUCCAGCAAUGCCGCGUGAGUGAUGAAGGCCGUAGGGUUGUAAAGCUCUUUUACCCGGGAUGAUAAUGACAGUACCGGGAGAAUAAGCUCCGGCUAACUCCGUG